GAUCAAGUUACUAAGAGCAUACGGUGGAUGCCUUGGCACGGAGAGGCGAUGAAGGACGUGGUAAGCUGCGAUAAGCCUCGAUUAGGAGCAAACAUCCUUUGAGUCGGGGAUUUCCGAAUGGGGCAACCCAGCAGGGUAAUACCUGUCUAUUGCAUAGUAAAUUCAUAGCUAUGCAAGGCGAACGGGGGGAACUGAAACAUCUAAGUACCCCCAGGAAGAGAAAACAACCGUGAUUUCCCAAGUAGCGGCGAGCGAAAGGGAAAGAGUCUAAACCGAUUGACAUGUUAAAGCGGGUGCGCGUUGUGUCGUCGGUGUUGCGGGUUCAGUUCUGACCGAAGUACCCAUAGGUCGAAGAGUCAAAAACCGUUUGGUUAACCGAAUAAUUCUGGAACGUCAAACCAUAGAGGGUGAUAGUCCCGUAGGUGAAAAUCAAGCGGCUCUUUCGAAUUGAUACCCAAGUAACCCGGAACACGAGAAAUUCUGGGUGAAUCUGCCAAGACCACUUGGUAAGACUAAACACUACUUCGUGACCGAUAGUGAACCAGUACCGUGAGGGAAAGGUGAAAAGAACCGCUGACGCGGAGUGAAAUAGUACCUGAAACCGUAUGCUUACAAGCUGUGGGAGGAAAGUGUGCUCUUCGGAGUACAUAGACUGACCGCGUGCCUAUUGAAUAAUGAUCUAGCGAGUUACUCCUCGGUUGCAAGGUUAAGGCAAACACUGCCGGAGCCGUAGCGAAAGCGAGUUUUAAACGAGCGUUAAGUAGCCGGGGGUAGACCCGAAGCCAGUUGAUCUAUGUAUGGCCAGGAUGAAAGACCGGUAACACGGUCUGGAGGUCCGAACCCACCGCUGUUGAAAAGGCGGGGGAUGAGCUGUACAUAGGGGUGAAAGGCCAAUCAAAACUGGAGAUAGCUGGUUCUCCCCGAAAUAGCUUUAGGGCUAGCCUUGUGUAAUAGUGUGACGGAGGUAGAGCACUGAAUUGGUUAGGGGGCCUACAAGCCUACCGACCCGAAUCAAACUCCGAAUGCCGUCUACAUGUUUCACAGGAGAUAGUCUGCGAGGGAUAAGCUUCGUAGGCGAAAGGGAAACACCCCAGACCGCCGGCUAAGGUCCCUAAACAAUGCUAAGUGAUAAAGGAUGUGGAAUUACUGAAACAGCUAGGAUGUUGGCUUAGAAGCAGCCAUUCAUUUAAAGAGUGCGUAAUAGCUCACUAGUCUAGUGAUUCUGCGCCGAUAAUAAACGGGACUAAGCAUUGUACCGAAGCCGCGGACUUCACGCGCAAGCGUGAUUUGGUAGGGGAGCAUUCUGUUGUAGGUCGAAGGUAUCUCGGUAAGAGGUGCUGGACGAAGCAGAAGAGAUUAUGCUAGAACGAGUAGCGAUAAUACAGGCGAGAAACCUGUACACCGUAAACCUAAGGUUUCCUGAGGAAGGUUAAUCCGCUCAGGGUUAGUCGGAACCUAAGCCCAGGCCGAGAGGCGUAAGCGAUGGAAAACAGGUCAAUAUUCCUGUACCAGGUGCAACGUGUUUGAGCUAUGGGGUGACGCAGUCGUGAAAGGGCAGCCACCUGAUGGAUGGUGGUCCAAGCCUGUAGGUGGAUCGCGCAGGUAAAUCCGUGCGGUCAACACCGAGAGGUGAUGGGGGAAUGAGUCUUCGGACAAACCAACUGCCCCUAAUCAUACUGCCGAGAAAAACCUCUAUGUUAAUGUUGUAUCUGUCCGUACCGUAAUCCGACACAGGUAGGUGAGGAGAAUAUCCUAAGGUGCUCGAGCUAACCCACGUUAAGGAACUAGGCAAAAUGGCCCCGUAACUUCGGAAGAAGGGGUGCUCCUAAGUAGGUGAGAGAGUUCGCCUCUCAAGCUGAAUGGAGUCACAGUAAAGUGGCCUGGGUGACUGUUUACUAAAAACACAUGUCUCUGCUAAGCCCUAAGGCGACGUAUAGGGACUGACACCUGCCCGGUGCUGGAAGGUUAAGAGGAGGGGUCAGCUGUAUUUAUAUAGCGAAGCUCUCAAUCGAAGCCCCAGUAAACGGCGGCCGUAACUAUAACGGUCCUAAGGUAGCGAAAUUCCUUGUCGGGUAAAUUCCGACCUGCACGAAUGGUGUAACUAUUUGGGCGCUGUCUCAACGUGGGACUCGGUGAAACUGUAGCAGCGGUGAAGAUGCCGCUUUCCCGCAUCGGGACGAAAAGACCCCGUGCACCUUUACUAUAACCUGGCAUUGUCAUUUGGACGGGCAUGUAGAGCAUAGGUGGGAGGCUGUGAAACUGGAGCGCUAGCUUCGGCGGAGCCAUCACUGGAAUACCACCCUUGUUUUUUCGGAUGUCUAACCUCGGUCCUUGAAACAGGAUGAGGAACACUGCCAGGCGGGUAGUUUGACUGGGGCGGUCGCCUCCCAAAGAGUAACGGAGGCGUACAAAGGUCUGCUCAGGCUGUUUGGUAAUCAGCUGUAGAGCGCAAGGGUAUAAGCAGGCUUAACUGCGAGACGUACAUGUCGAGCAGGAACGAAAGUUGGUCCUAGUGAUCCGGCGGUUGCGCGUGGAAGUGCCGUCGCUUAACGGAUAAAAGGUACGCCGGGGAUAACAGGCUUAUCUCCUCCGAGAGUUCACAUCGACGAGGGGGUUUGGCACCUCGAUGUCGGCUCAUCACAUCCUGGGGCUGGAGAAGGUCCCAAGGGUUCGGCUGUUCGCCGAUUAAAGUGGUACGUGAGCUGGGUUUAGAACGUCGUGAGACAGUUCGGUCUCUAUCUGAUGCGGGCGAAGGAAAUUUGAGGGGCUCUGACCCUAGUACGAGAGGACCAGGUCGGACCGACCGCCGGUGCACCUGUUGUUACGCCAGUAGCAUAGCAGGGUAGCUGCGUCGGGAAGGGAUAAGCGCUGAAUGCAUCUAAGUGCCAAGCCCACCCCAAGAUAAGAUUUCCCUAUCGAAAGAUCUAAAGGCACCUGGAAGAUGACCAGGUUGAUAGGUCACAGAUGUAAGCCCUGUGAGGGGUUCAGUCGAGUGAUACUAAUUUGCCGUGAGACUUGAUCUU
rnacentral:rRNA from 1 species